CGCCCUCAUUGGCUGCCGUUCUCUUUGUGUGCGAGCAGCUGCCGUCUGGGCUGCAUUUUGAAUGGUCUCGUAUUGGAAGGCGAAGGUGUCCAUGGGCAGCACAGCAACAAAGGAGCCAGGAUGGUGUUAGUGCACGUCGGAUAUCUGGUUCUUCCCGUCUUCGGUUCCGUCAGAAGUAGAGUCUGGGGGCUGAUUCUACAUACCGCAUUUUUUCAGAGCUCUGUUCCCCUCCAUUGUGUAUCUAACGAUCACCCGCCGCUGCUGUGCUAUAGCCUCUGCCUGCCCUGCAUCUAGCUGUGUUGUGACUCCCUCUUCUCAUUCCCUCUCUUUCCAUCUGAAGACGACAUUACAAACAAACUCUCACUCAUCCAGUAUAUUUAUAUAUAUAUCCUCCUGUGUAACCGACUGCAGAAAUAACACUCUCUUCUCUAGAAGAAUCCUCUUGUCUUCUUUGUUUUAUUUCUUUAUUUUGUUUUUUAAAUGGUCAUUGUUGCUUUGACGAAAAUAACAACUCAUUGUAGCAUUUAGCUUUUUUUACGACUGUCAUUGUGAUUUGUCCCAUUCUUUAGUGUGGAUAGACCAACAUUUUUUGCUGUAAAUUUCUGUCAAGUGGAUGCAUUGGCCUCUCACUCGAUCAUAGCCGGGCUUGAUCGACCCCUAAACACUGUCUCUGUCUUGUCUUUCUUUUUGGGAGGGUGCGCUGUGCCGGUCACAUUUGGAUUGGGAUGCUUCUACUAACGUUCGCUUUUUUAUUGUCUAAUUAUUUAUGUACAGUUUGGAUCGAUAAUAUCUCACUCGUUGACCCUUUGCUCUCUGGGGUUUGCCCCCCUGAAGUGACCCAUUAAUGAUUAACCAAAUUAAAUCUAUUCCUUGCAGCUUAAAGGAAUAGUUUGCAUAAAAUUAAAAAUCUAAUUUUUAAUCUGCAUGAUGUCAUUAUGAACCAAAGAAAUAUGGUACCUGAAUCUUUGUUUUAGUGUUUACUGUAAAGCGCACUACUUUUUAUGUUGAAUCAAUUAACUUCCGAUUCAACUUAAUUCACGAUUAACCUAUUUCCAUGCAACUACAAAUGUUAUUAUGUAGUUUUAACUAAAAUCAUCCCAUUUUUUUGCUAAAUGUAUAACGCAAAAUGAUUUUAAAAGCUGUAGAAAAUGUUAACACUAGUAAUUCUGGUUUAAAUGAAUCAUGCGCUAUAUUUCAAGUGUUCUGACGUCAUUUGAGUCAAAUUUAAGUUGUUAAUUUAUAGAUAAAGAAAUAAAAUUUCAUGCACAAACAGUGGUUUUAAUGGCCAAAAUUACCUGCGGCGUUCUUGUAUGGUGUUGUAAUUGAAAUUACGCAGCAUUUUUAACAUCUAGGGUACACUUACAUGACGUCAAAGUAUUAGAAAAAGCAAAGAUAUGACAUGCCAAAAACAAUGCGUGUGAACAACUAAAAGUGCUGUUGAUUGCCUGCCAGGCCUGUAGGUGGCGAUAACCCUGUGUAAAGAAACCUUACACGCCUGUGCUCACGCAGUCCUGUAUGAAACUGCUGUUUCAGUUGUCUCGCCUUUUAAAACGAACACUUGAAACGUGCAUGACGUCACACAUUUUUAAACGUUUAAAAUUUUAAAACAUUUGAGUGCUGUUGAGCGUGUUCUUAAACACAGCUGAUUUGCCAUCGAGUUCACAUGCUCAACAGAAAUGACCGUGAUUGGCUGUGUAGGUCAUCAAUUCACCAACUGUAUACCGAGUGUAACCACAGAUACGGGAACACUCGAGUGUUUUAAAGCCGCAGUUCAUCAGUGGAUCACUUGCAUGUCAGCUUAUAGACGAACCAGCUAAUCAGCGUGACUUUAAAACGCUCAGUAAAUAGCGGUGAGUUCAUCUUCGCAGCCAAUCACAGUCAUUUCUGUUGAGCACGUGAACACGAUGGCAAAUCAGCACUGUUUAAGAACGCACUCAACAGUGCUAAAAUGUUAGUGUUAAAUGGACGCUUUUAAAACUUCGCUGUCGAUUGGUCCAAAAUUCCAGUAUCGUAACAACCUUACUUGCAUGACGUCAAUUUAUGAAAAAGCUAAUUGUUGCAAAGAUAUGACUUCCCAAAAACAAUGCACACUCGCACAGAUGUGUGAAAGGCUAACAGUGCUGUUGAUUGCCCGCCAGGCCUGUAGGUGGUGAUAUCACUGUGUAAAGAAUCCCUACAAGCCUGUGCUCGCGCAGUCCUGUACAAAACUGUCGUUUCGGUUGUCUCGCCUCUUUAAAAUGAACACUUGAAAUGUGCAUGGUCACAAAUUUUAAAAUAAUUCAUUUCCUUUAACUCUUGAGCACGUUCUUAAACGCAGCUGAUUUGCCAUUGUGUUCAUGUGCUCAACAGAAAUGACUGUGAUUGGCUGUGAAGUUCAUCAGUUCACUGAACUCACCGCUUGAGCGUUUUAAAGCCACACAUCAUCAGUGGAUCACUUGUAUGUCAGCUUAUAGACAAACCAGUUGAUCAACGUGACCUUUAAAACACGUGUCGCUGUAUCUGUGGUUACACUCCGUAAACAGCGGUGAGUUCGGUGAAGACCUUCACGGCCAAUCACAGUCAUUUCUGUUGAGCACUUGAACACAAUGGCAGAUCAGCGCUGUUUAACAGUGCUCAAAUGUUAGCGGGAAAUGGACAUUUUUACAAUUGCAGUGUCGAUUGGUCCCGAAUGCCAGUAUCGUGACAACCCUACCUCCAUGACGUCAAAGUAUAAAAAAAAGCUAAUUUAUGCAAAGAUAUGUCGUGCCAAAAAUAAUACACGUUCACACAGUUGUGUGAAAGGCUAAGAGUGCUGUCGAUUGCCAGCCAGGCCUGUAGGUGGCGACAUCACUUUGUAAAGAAACCCUGUACGAAACUGUUGUUUCAGUUGUCUCUCCACUUUUACGCGAACACUUAAAAACUUGCAUGGCGUCACAAAUUUGACAAAAUGUAACCUUUUGUAGUUUAAACAAUUCAAAAUAAACUUCAUAGGGUUGUUACGAUACUGGAAUUCGAUAACAAACGAUACUAGAAUUUUAAAAACGUCUGUUUCCCAUUAACAUUUGAGCGCUGUUAAGUGCGUUCUUAACGGCACUGAAUUGCUGUUGUGUUUGCUUGCUCAACAGAAAUGACUGUGAUUGGCCGAGAAGGUCAUCAGUUCACUUAACUUCCUGCUGUUUCAGGGACAUUGGAAGUUGCAAAGCCGCGAUUCAUCAAAUCGCUCAUAUGUCAGCUUAUAGACAAACCAGCUGAUCGACGUGACUUUUGAAAUGCUCCGGUGUCCCUGUAUCUGUGAUUACACUCAGUAAACAUCGGUGAGUUCAGUGAACUGAUGACCUUCACAGCCAAUCAGAGUCCUUUCUGUUUAGCACGUUAGCACAAUUGCAAAUCAGCGCUGCUCAAAA